rnacentral:rRNA from 1 species
GACGAACGCUGGCGGCGUGCUUAACACAUGCAAGUCGAACGGUGAAGCGCCUUCCUUUUUGGUGGGUGUGGGUGAGUUGCGAACGGGUGAGUAACACGUUAGUAACCUGCCCCCUUCUUCUGGAUAACCGCAUGAAAGUUUGGCUAAUACGGGAUAUUCUGUGUCUGUCGCAUGAUGGGUCUGGGAAAGAUAUUGUUUCGGUGUGGGAUGGGCUCGCGGACUAUCAGUUUGUGGGUGGGGUGAUGGCCUACCAAGGCGGUGCCGGGGAGCCGGCCUGAGAGGGUGGACGGUAACAGUAGGAAUGAGACACGGACAAGACUACGACGGGAGGCAGCAGUGGGGAAUAUUGCACAAUGGGAGGAAGCAUGAUGCAGCGACGCGGCGUGAGGGAUGGAGGCCUGCGGGUUGUGAACCUCUUUCGCCAGUGAAGCAGGGCUGCCUAGUUUGUGGGUGGGUUGACGGUAGCUGGAGAAGAAGCGCCGGCUAACUACGUG